UACGUAGGGUGCAAGCGUUGUCCGGAAUUAUUGGGCGUAAAGAGCUCGUAGGCGGUUUGUCGCGUCUGCUGUGAAAACUCGGGGCUUAACUCCGGGCCUGCAGUGGGUACGGGCAGACUAGAGUGCGGUAGGGGAGACUGGAAUUCCUGGUGUAGCGGUGAAAUGCGCAGAUAUCAGGAGGAACACCGGUGGCGAAGGCGGGUCUCUGGGCCGAUACUGACGCUGGAGGAGCGAAAGGCGUGGGGAGCGAACAGG
rnacentral:rRNA from 1 species